rnacentral:rRNA from 1 species
AUUGAACGCUAGCGGCAUGCCUUACACAUGCAAGUCGAACGGCAGCACGGGGGCAACCCUGGUGGCGAGUGGCGAACGGGUGAGUAAUACAUCGGAACGUGCCCUGUAGUGGGGGAUAACGUAGCGAAAGCUACGCUAAUACCGCAUACGCACUAUGGUGGAAAGCGGGGGAUCGCAAGACCUCGCGCUAUAGGAGCGGCCGAUGGCAGAUUAGCUUGUUGGUGGGUAAAAGCCUACCAAGGCGACGAUCUGUAGCUGGUCUGAGAGGACGACCAGCCACACUGGGACUGAGACACGGCCCAGACUCCUACGGGAGGCAGCAGUGGGGAAUUUUGGACAAUGGGGGAAACCCUGAUCCAGCAAUGCCGCGUGUGUGAAGAAGGCCUCGGUUGUAAGAUCUUCAGGUGGGAAGAUAAUGACUGUACCACCAGAAGAAGACCCGGCUAACUCCGUGCCAGCAGCCGCGGU